rnacentral:rRNA from 1 species
UGGGGAAUAUUGCACAAUGGGCGCAAGCCUGAUGCAGCCAUGCCGCGUGUAUGAAGAAGGCCUUCGGGUUGUAAAGUACUUUCAGCGGGGAGGAAGGGAGUAAAGUUAAUACCUUUGCUCAUUGACGUUACCCGCAGAAGAAGCACCGGCUAACUCCGUGCCAGCAGCCGCGGUAAUACGGAGGGUGCAAGCGUUAAUCGGAAUUACUGGGCGUAAAGCGCACGCAGGCGGUUUGUUAAGUCAGAUGUGAAAUCCCCGGGCUCAACCUGGGAACUGCGUCGGAUACUGGAAAGCUUGAGUCUCGUAGAGGGGGGUAGAAUUCCAGGUGUAGCGGUGAAAUGCGUAGAGAUCUGGGGGAAUACCGGUGGCGAAGGCGGCCCCCUGAACGAAGACUGACGCUCAGGUGCGAAAGCGUGGGGAGCAAACAGG